UGCCCCGACCCUGCUCGCCGAGCCCUGCCUCUCCGGUUCUCCAUCCAUGUACGCUGUCGGGGACUUGCAGGUCCAAGCUUGCUGCUAUCAUCUUCAAUUUGCAGAAGAAAGUUGGGUCCUCACGGAGGGAAGGAAGGAUGUUUGCUAAUGUGGUUGGGUGGCUUUCUGUUUUUGGAAGGAGGAAGGUUUAUUCAGUCCAUCCUCCUGCCUCUCCCUGCACAAAAAAUGGUUCAUCCUUCAUUGGUAUGUUUGCAGCUAUGUAGGAGGUGAACGCAGAGACAACUGCGGGCUAGCUGCAGCUUCUGUUUGAGCAGAGGCGAUCGUUCCUUGCCGGAAUCGUAUUUCAUGUGAACCUCUCUGAAUUUUUCCACAUGUUUACAAGUAUCAGCCUGUGGUAUGCAGCUGCUCUGUUAGUUGUCUCUAUUAUUCUGAUGUCUCACCCCUUUUUUUGUUGCAAUUUUUUAGCUCUGCAUUGUAUAAUUGCUGCUAAUUCAAGUAUUGGAUUUUGUGCUUUACGGGAAACCACUUGAUCUGACCCCAAAACAGGAGAAAAUUAUGUAUAACAAGGCCAAUGAAAUCAAUGGUAGCCCCUGUUUCUAUCCCUAUUUCUCUGUCUGAAGCUGUUCUUUUAUUCAAUACAUAAGCAUCGACAGCUUACUAUUCCUAAAUUAGCUUCUAUGCAAUUUUAUUCAGAGUUGUGAUCUGGAUGGAUCUGGAUGUUUGUGAUUUUUAUGAUCCAUUAUUACACUUCAUUUGAUGUUGAAUGCAUCUGAGGUUCCAUGCAAUAGAUUAAAACCUGAAUUUCUCACCCACUGACAAUUUGGUAGAUGUUGAAUGGAUCUGGAUGAAGAGUUUGUGAUCUGGAGGGAUCUUGCUGUUUAUUUAGAUUAAAACUGAAGGGUAUACUUCAUUUGAAAUCUUACAUGCUAACAAUUCAG
rnacentral:lncRNA from 1 species